rnacentral:lncRNA from 1 species
AGCUCGAACACAUGUAGCUGCUGUCUAAUCUUAGGAUGAAGGCUUCACUCAAACUUCUUUGCCUUUCUGCCUUCAUCCAUCAUGCUCACAGGGGAAUACCGGCCUAACUCUAAACUUUCGGGCAUACUCUGAUACAGUCAUAUCACCAUAGACUAGAUGUAUAAACUUAUUUUUUUAGAUGUCGGAGAUGCUUUAGGAGGUACUCUGCAUUGAAGGCUAUUAGGAACUGCUCCCAAGUGACUGGAACGGAUAGAGUGGCCUGCUUGAGGUGUCGCCAGUGAUUUGCUUCUCCCACCAGCAUGUAGGUGGCAAGUAUAACUCUUUGUUCGGGAAUCACCUCAAGUGUAAUACCCAAAAAUUUAUUUGAAUAUUACAAAUUAAUUUUCAAGUAUUACACCAAGAGUCGUGAAAGGCUUAUCUGUCUCAGCUAACCAAUACUUAGCCUCUUUAAAGAAGGAUGCCCCUGCAAAAAUAGAUGGAUAUAGUCUUUUGUACAUCUCAAUGUAGCUUGAGUCCAUCAUGG